ACAAAACAGACAGCAAUUUUCAAAAACACUGUCGUCAAAAUAGAUCAAAUUCCGCUGUAAUCACGAAACUGUUGGCAUAACUUUUCGUACUUCAAAAAGUAAGCUUGCAUCGUUUGUAUAUCAGGAGUCAUUUAGAAGGAUCAAAAUGAAUUCAAGACUUCUUCAAAUUUGUAUAAUCAUUGUUCUUUUGGGCGCACUCUAUCAACACGCAACGGCAAGAGAAGCGACCAAAGAUGACAUUGAUGAUAUUGGCGGUUUAUUGACCGGAGUCAUCGUCUUGAUGAGUGUCGGAAUUGUGUUGAUUUUGAUCAUUGGUGCCGUUAUGUUUGCAAUGAGAUGAUCGUCUGACAAUGUUUACCAUCUUUCAAGAUCACGUACAUACAAUAUAGCUACAUUAGCCUUUGAAUAACAAUGCAUACUCUUUGUGUGUAAUUAUAAAACAUAAUUUACUCGCAUGCAGUUUUAGAAAUUGUAUUUUUUUAUGAGCCAAUAAACAUAUUCUUUGAAUUACAA